rnacentral:rRNA from 1 species
UACAGAGGUCUCAAGCGUUGUUCGGAUUCAUUGGGCGUAAAGGGUGCGUAGGCGGCGCGGUAAGUCGGGUGUGAAAUCUCGGAGCUUAACUCCGAAACUGCAUUCGAUACUGCCGUGCUUGAGGACUGGAGAGGAGGCUGGAAUUUACGGUGUAGCGGUGAAAUGCGUAGAUAUCGUAAGGAAGACCAGUGGCGAAGGCGGGUCUCUGGACAGUUCCUGACGCUGAGGCACGAAGGUCAGGGGAGCAAACGGGG